rnacentral:rRNA from 1 species
GCAAGUCGAACGAAGGCCCUAGCUUGCUAGGUGUCCUUAGUGGCGCACGGGUGAGUAACACGUGGGAACAUACCUCAUAGUACGGAAUAACUGCGGGAAACUGUAGCUAAUACCGUAUAUUCCAGUAAUGGGAAAGAGUUAUCGCUAUGAGAUUGGCCCGCGCAAGAUUAGUUUGUUGGUAAGGUAAUGGCUUACCAAGGCUACGAUCUUUAGCUGGUUUGAGAGGAUGAUCAGCCACACUGGGACUGAGACACGGCCCAGACUCCUACGGGAGGCAGCAAUAGGGAAUAUUGGACAAUGGGGGCAACCCUGAUCCAGCAAUGCAGCGUGAGUGACGAAGGCCUUAGGGUUGUAAAACUCUUUCAUCGGUGAGGAUAAUGACAGUAGCCGAAGAAGAAGGACCGGCUAAUUCCGUGCCAGCAGCCGCGGUAAUACGGAAGGUCCUAGCGUGGUUCGGAAUUACUGGGCGUAAAGCGCAUGUAGGCGGAACAGAAAGUUAGAAGUGAAAUCCCUGGGCUCAACCUAGGAAUUGCUUUUAAAACUUCUGUUCUGGAAUUCAGGAGAGGAAAAUGGAAUAUCCAGUGUAGAGGUGAAAUUCGUAGAUAUUGGAUGGAACACCAGUGGCGAAGGCGAUUUUCUGGACUGAUAUUGACGCUGAGAUGCGAAGGCAUGGGUAGCAAACGGGAUUAGAUACCCCGGUAGUCCAUGCAGUAAACGAUGGGUGCUAGUCGUCGGACUUAUGUUCGGUGUCGUAGCUAACGCGUUAAGCACCCCGCCUGGGGAGUACGGUCGCAA